rnacentral:rRNA from 1 species
GACAUGGCAGGACGACUUCUGGAGACAGAUUUCUUACCUUCGGGGACCUGCACACAGGUGCUGCAUCGCUGUCGUCAGCUCGUGUCGUGAGAUGUUGGGUUAAGUCCCGCAACGAGCGCAACCCUCGACCUUAGUUGCCAUCAUUUAGUUGGGCACUUUAAGGUAACCGCCGGUGAUAAGCCGGAGGAAGGUGGGGAUGACGUCAAGUCCUCAUGGCCCUUACGCGCUGGGCUACACACGUGCUACAAUGGCGGUGACAGUGGGCAGCAAGCACGCGAGUGUGAGCUAAUCUCCAAAAGCCGUCUCAGUUCGGAUUGUUCUCUGCAACUCGAGAGCAUGAAGGCGGAAUCGCUAGUAA